UAGCUCACUAGUCGAGUCGGCCUGCGCGGAAGAUGUAACGGGGCUAAAAUAUAGCACCGAAGCUGCGGCAUCAGGCGUAUCACUAAUACGCCUUACGAUUAACAACAUCGAAUGAAGUGAAACGGAAUGAGAUGUUGGUCAAGCAACCCGAACGUUGAGUCGGAAAGUAAUCGAAGAGAGGAUUAUUAGUGAUACGCCUGUUGGGUAGGGGAGCGUUGUGUAAGCGGAUGAAGGUGAAUCGAGAGGUUUGCUGGACGUAUCACAAGUGCGAAUGCUGACAUAAGUAACGAUAAAACGAGUGAAAAACUCGUUCGCCGGAAGACCAAGGGUUCCUGUCCAACGUUAAUCGGGGCAGGGUGAGUCGGCCCCUAAGGCGAGGCUGAAAAGCGUAGUCGAUGGGAAACGGGUUAAUAUUCCCGUACUUGUCUUCAUUGCGAUGUGGGGACGGAGAAGGUUAGGUUAGCAGACUGUUGGAUGUCUGUUUAAGUUGGUAGGUGGGGAGCUUAGGCAAAUCCGGG
rnacentral:rRNA from 1 species